rnacentral:rRNA from 1 species
CCUACGGGGCGCAGCAGUGGGGAAUAUUGCACAAUGGGGGAAACUCUGAUGCAGCAACGCCGCGUGAGUGAAGAAGUAUUUCGGUAUGUAAAGCUCUAUCAGCAGGGAAGAAGAAAGACGGUACCUGCUUUAGAAGCCUUGGCUAACUACGUGCCAGCAGCCGCGGCAAUACGUAGGUGGCAAGCGUUAUCCGGAUUUACUGGGGGUAAGGGGAGCGUAGACGGCUGUGCAAGUCUGAAGUGAAAGCCCGUGGCUCAACCGGGGAGCAGCUUUGGAAACUGUAUAGCUUGAGUCCUGGAGAGGCAGGCGGAAUUCCUAGUGUAGCGGUGAAAUGCGUAGAUAUUAGGAGGAACACCAGUGGCGAAGGCGACCUGCUGGACAGAAACUGACGUUGAGGCUCGAAAGCGUGGGGAGCAAACAGGAUUAGAUACCCCUGUAGUC